CCUACGGGGAGCAGCAGUGGGGAAUAUUGGACAAUGGGCGAAAGCCUGAUCCAGCCAUGCCGCGUGUGUGAAGAAGGCCUUCGGGUUGUAAAGCACUUUCAGUGGGGAAGAAAGCCUUGGGGCUAAUACCCUCGAGGAAGGACAUCACCCACAGAAGAAGCACCGGCUAACUCCGUGCCAGCAGCCGCGGUAAUACGGAGGGUGCGAGCGUUAAUCGGAAUUACUGGGCGUAAAGCGCGCGUAGGCGGUCUGAUAAGCCGGUUGUGAAAGCCCCGGGCUCAACCUGGGAACGGCAUCCGGAACUGUCAGGCUAGAGUGCAGGAGAGGAAGGUAGAAUUCCCGGUGUAGCGGUGAAAUGCGUAGAGAUCGGGAGGAAUACCAGUGGCGAAGGCGGCCUUCUGGACUGACACUGACGCUGAGGUGCGAAAGCGUGGGUAGCAAACAGGAUUAGAUCCCCCAGUAGUC
rnacentral:rRNA from 1 species